GCGGGUUUAGCUCAGUUGGGAGAGCGUCAGACUGAAGAAUUACUUCAUUCUUGUCAACACCGUUGAUAUCUGAAGGUCAUGUGUUCGAUCCACAUAAACCGCA
rnacentral:tRNA from 1 species